rnacentral:hammerhead_ribozyme from 1 species
AUCCAGUUGAUGAAUCUCAAACAGGAUGAAACAUGCAUCCUGGAU